GACGAACGCUGGCGGCGCGCCUAACACAUGCAAGUCGAACGAGAGAGAAGGAGCUUGCUUCUUCGAUCGAGUGGCGAACGGGUGAGUAACGCGUGAGGAACCUGCCUCAAAGAGGGGGACAACAGUUGGAAACGACUGCUAAUACCGCAUAAGCCCACGGGUCGGCAUCGACCAGAGGGAAAAGGAGCAAUCCGCUUUGAGAUGGCCUCGCGUCCGAUUAGCUAGUUGGUGAGGUAACGGCCCACCAAGGCGACGAUCGGUAGCCGGACUGAGAGGUUGAACGGCCACAUUGGGACUGAGACACGGCCCAGACUCCUACGGGAGGCAGCAGUGGGGAAUAUUGCACAAUGGGGGAAACCCUGAUGCAGCGACGCCGCGUGGAGGAAGAAGGUCUUCGGAUUGUAAACUCCUGUUGUUGAGGAAGAUAAUGACGGUACUCAA
rnacentral:rRNA from 1 species